CCAAGUUAGUUGCCGCGGGGGUCGAAUGCGGUUAGCCACCCUACUUCCCCCUCCCCGGGGAGUGGGAACAGGGAAUAAGCGUUAAGGUGAAUCCAGGGUUCGAUUAGGGAUAUUUCAAGAUUAGAGAUAGCGCCACCAGUCGCCACUGAGAAUUUCACUUUCCUUCGACGAUUACUGAGAUAAUAUUGUUCAAAUUCCAAAAAGCAGAUCCACAAGAUCUAGAUUAUUUUCUGCUUGAUUUUUUGAGCCAAAAAUAUUGACAAUCAGACUUACAAGCGCAGAGAAAGUACGGCUGAAAGUUUCAAAACUUCUCAGAGGCUCUUGAGGGGCGUUUUUUUCAUAAGCGGUGACCGCUGUUGUGCAACACUGGAGAUUGCUGACCACCGAAUGGCGGCUGUUGCUACUAGAACUUGCCUAUUGGUGUUGUUAUUUUGAUUAUAGGUUAUGUUCAGUUCGAAGGAAUUUGUACGAUUUGUCUUGACAAUUUUGUCCUUCAAAAAAGUGUUUUAAAAAAAGGAAUACUUUUAUUGCUGUAUUUACAACUGUAUCUACGAAAUCUCAAACACACAUAAUACAAAUACAAUAAUACAUAAUACAUGUCUACAAUUACAACAGUAGAAGGAUUUCGAAAAUUGGGCAGAUUGAAGUGCCAGUGUUUUUCCUGUGAAACGAAAAUGUGCUGAUGAACGAAUGAAACAAGAAGGUGACAACGAACUUUCAACUCAUGAUUCCAGCUCAUUCCUAAAAAGAAAAUGAAGCAUGAACCAGGGCAAAAGUAGACACGGCUUCAUAUGAAAUUUUCUUGUGAUGAAACAUGUUUCCUAUUUGAUAUGCUCAAUGUACGGUCGCCCGCUCGUUGAAUCUCUACCGUCAAAAUUAAUAUUUGAUCAGGCCACUCUCUGCAGUCCCGGAAUGAAUUACAUUAAAUAG
rnacentral:lncRNA from 1 species